AUGCUAACCUCGCUGAGGACAUUGAUUGUAAAAGAAUCAGUUGGUCUAGUUGGACCACUAGGAGGAGGUCAGAGUGAUGUGGAAUGGCAGCUCCCUGUUGAGUAUAUCAAGAUCUACAAAUUAAAUGGUAAUACUGGCAAGGAACUGACAGAGCUCCUCCCCCACCUCCCAAAGCUCUCCAAAUUGGUAAUAUGGUGGUGUAAAAGCAUAAAAAAGCUGGUAGUGGGGGUGGAUGUGCAACAAACAACACAAGAAGCAUCAGAGAUGGGGGGAGGUGAAAUAACAGCAGCAGCAGAGGAAGAGGAUGAUGGGGUGCUGCUCCUCCCAGCUCAUCUCUGUGACUCACUACGGGAAUUGUGGUUCAAUUACUGCCCAGAGCUGGUCCUGGUUGACCCUCCAACUCUUGUUCCUGGUGGAGGAUGGCUCCAAGCCUUGCGAUCCCUCCAGACACUGGAGCCCCUCUCAAACCUCUCCUCUCUUAUCAGAUUAGAAUUGGGUAAUUGUGGAGAGGAUCUGAAAUGUCAGGUCUUGUGGUCUCUCAUUACCACCGGCGGCCAACUCAAGGAAUUAGAAGUCAGGGGAAGCCAUAGAUUUUUUGCUGAUCGGGAUCCCAAUCCCAGACGGGCUUUGGAGGAUGCUGAGGGAGGUGAAGAGCAGCAGACACAGAUUGUUUCAUCCACACUGCAUGAGCUCGGGACAGAUGACAUAGCAGGAUUUCUUGCUGCACCCGUCUGUAGAUUCCUCUCUUCCUCCCUCACCAAGCUGAAACUUCGAGGGAAUUGGUGUGAAGGGAUGGAGCGGUUCAGCAAGGAGCAAGAGGACGCCCUUCAACUCCUCUCCUCCCUCCAGGAACUUGACUUUUCAUGUUUCAAGGACCUUCACCAACUCCCUGCAGGGAUGAGCAACCUUACCAGCCUCAAGAAAUUAACAAUCUAUGAAUGUCCAGCCCUCUCAUCAUUGCCCAAGGAUGGCCUCCCCAAAUCACUGCAAGAGCUAAAUGUCGGAUUGUGCAGCAACCAGCAGAUAAGACAGGAGUGCCGCGGAUUAGAGGGAACCAUCCCGAAAAUCGUACUAUAA
rnacentral:rRNA from 1 species